UGACCUCCACUACGGCAGUCAAAUCUCCAC
rnacentral:piRNA from 1 species